UAGGGAAUCUUCCGCAAUGGGCGAAAGCCUGACGGAGCAACGCCGCGUGAGUGAUGAAGGUCUUCGGAUCGUAAAACUCUGUUAUUAGGGAAGAACAAAUGUGUAAGUAACUAUGCACGUCUUGACGGCACCUAAUCAGAAAGCCACGGCUAACUACGUGCCAGCAGCCGCGGUAAUACGUAGGUGGCAAGCGUUAUCCGGAAUUAUUGGGCGUAAAGCGCGCGUAGGCGGUUUUUUAAGUCUGAUGUGAAAGCCCACGGCUCAACCGUGGAGGGUCAUUGGAAACUGGAAAACUUGAGUGCAGAAGAGGAAAGUGGAAUUCCAUGUGUAGCGGUGAAAUGCGCAGAGAUAUGGAGGAACACCAGUGGCGAAGGCGACUUUCUGGUCUGUAACUGACGCUGAUGUGCGAAAGCGUGGGGAUCAAACAGG
rnacentral:rRNA from 2 species